AGGGUAUUCAUGAAAUAUUUGGUGAAUGAAGGAUCACCUAGGUUAGGGUUAGUGUUCUUCAGGACCUCCUGGGAUAUAUUUCAGAAAGCCUGAGGGCCCUGAACAGUACUGUAAUAAUCUGAAGUUUUUCUUUAAAAAACUCAAAGUCCUGGGUCUCCACAUGGCAGACAGGCCCUUUGAAGGGUAUCUGCUAGGCAUAAUCCUAUGAUAUACUCCUGAAAAGUCCAACAGACUUACUGUUCUCCUAGAGAUUUAAGAUAUCAACAAAAGGGUAUGCAGAAGUUUAAGAAUUUCCUAGGGGUUAGGAGGACUACUGUAGGUGUGGAAUUCAGAUGUUGCUGAGGAGCCCUGUACCUACUGUGAUGUCAGGAGGCACAAAUGACACUGGAAUUCUAUACUGCAAAAUCUAAGUUAAGGACCUUGUGAUGGUUAAGUCUAUAUGUCAACUUGACUGCGCCCCAUAUUCCUUUAACAUUAUUCUGGAAGUCACGUGAAUAAUGUCCAUGGGUCAAGGGAGAAAAGAUGGACCCCUGGAGUACCAAGACACCCAACCACUUUCCAUGAAGGAGAAGAGGUCUUGAACCACAAAGGGGCAUGGCAGACUGGUCUGGAGGGCACAGCAGGAGAAGGAGGAUGCUUUGGCUUUUCAACCUUGUCUUCAGGAUGUUCUACUUCCCUCAAAAGUCCUACCCUCAAACAGCAAACCUCCAGCAGGAGCAGGCAGAGGCAUCCCCACUGUCCAGUUUCACAGCAAUGAUUAGGAGAACUUCUGGGGUCAACUUCUAACUUCUAUUCAGCAAUUUCAAAGACUGGCCAGAUAAGAGAACUUAACUCCUUUAUCAACUGUCAGCUUCCUUUCAAAUUACUCCUAGGCAAAAAGUUUUGUUGCUAUAAUUACUGUUGUUAUUCUGGCGGGGAGGGGGGGGGAGGGAGAUGGAUUUUAUUUAUUUUAAAUGUUUUGUAGUAUUUUAAAAAGACAAGAUGUGGUUGGAAAAGAAAACUUAAAAGGCAUACAGAACAAAGUCUAUCUCCCACUAGUUCUCCAUUUGCCCAGUUCCCAGCUGCAACCAUAAGAAACCACUGUUAUUAGUCAUUUGUGAUUCUUUCUGAAAUGUCUUUUAUAUACACAAGCAAAUAUAAAUACAUAUUCUCCCCACCCACCCACCCAAAUGUUCUUUCACACAAAUGAAAGCAAACUCAACACAAUCUUUUGACACUUGGCCUUUUUUUCAUUUAACAGUGGAUCCUGAAGUUCUUCCCUAUUCGUACAUAAAAUGUUUCUUUUUUCCCCCCACGAAUACAUUUGUGUACAGCUGACCCUUGAACAAUACAGAGGCUAGAGACACCGAUCCCCUGCACAGUCAAAAAUCUAUGAAUAACUUCUGACUCCCCAAAAACUGAACUACUAACAGCCUACUGUUGACCAGGAAAGUUACCAAUUACAUAAAGCAGUCAAUUAAUACAUAUUUUAUGUGUUAUAUGUAUUAUACUGUACCCUUACAAUAAUACCUUUUUAAUUUUUCUGUAUUUCAAUGAUACCUGGUUCAUCUUAAGAGUUUUUUCAAAUUGUCACAAGUCUCCAAAAAACUUUCCAAUAUAUUUACUGAACAAAAUUUGUGUAUAAGUAGACCUACACAGUUCAAACCAGUGUUGUUCAAGGGUCAAAUGUAUUUCAUAUUUUGUAUGUAUGAUAAUUUUUAAAAAUUCCCUUUUAAUGGAUAAGACUGUUUCCAAUGUUUUGUCAUUAAAAUUAGUACUUCAAAAAAAAAAACACAAAGUAAGUGUUUUAAUCAAUAACUUUUUACCUACAACAUUUAGCCUAUAUGCAAGUAUCAGUGUAGAAUAAAUUCUCAGAACAAGAACUUCUAGGUCCAAGAGUACAUGAAGUUAU